UGCUAAAUUGAUGAAUGAAUGACAAUAACUCUGUGAAGUAUGCACGGAUGCAUGCAAGUUAGUGUCUCUCUUGUACUCCUUAGGAUCCAGAGGCUCAGAGAGCUGGGUCACUUAACCCAGAUAAUGCAGCUGAUAUUGGCACAGUCAGGGUUAAUUCACAGUCUCUGGCUCUGGAAUAACAGAUCUUAUUUUCAUAAGAUCUCUUUUUCUUCGCUAUAUUCGCCCUUCUGCAGCGUGUAGGUCAUAAAUAAGGUUGUUGUCUCUCACAUUAGUCCCUCAACACCUUGAAUCAUGUUUCUGGCAAUGAUCUCCUGGAUAGACUUCCUUACUGUGGUAUGGGCUCCACCAGUCUGUUCUGUACCCAACAGUCACUGUCUUACCAUCUGACUGUGCUUAAUCUCCUCCGUUUUCUCCUUGAUCUCUUUACAGUAUGCUCUUUUCUUCACCGCUACUUCCUUCUUGAAGCUCUCUUAUCCUUUUAUUACUACCUCUCUGACUACUCUUCCUUUUUUUUUUUUUUUUUUUUUUUUUUGAGACAGAGUCUCUCUGUCGCCCAGGCUGGAGGUCAGUGGUGCGAUCUUCUUGGCUCACUGCAAGCUCCGCCUCCCACGUUCACGCCAUUAUCCUGCCUCAGCCUCCCAAGUAGCUGGGACUACAGGCGCCCACCACCACAAGGGCUAUGUAUUUUUUUUAGUAGAGACGGGGUUUCACCGUGUUAGCCAGGAUGGUCUCGAUCUCCUGACCUCAUGAUCCUCCCGUUUCGGCCUCCCAAAGUGCUGGGAUUACAGGCGUGAGCCACCGCG
rnacentral:lncRNA from 1 species